AAAAACAUUGCCUCUCGACUCAACAAUGAGAGGUUCAUCCUGCCCAAUGACAACAUAGUUCAAUGGCCGCGGUACCCUGACCGUGCAAAGGUAGCAUAAUCACUUGCCCCUUAAUUAGGGGCUGGCAUGAAAGGACACACGAAAGCUUCCCUGUCUCACAAUAACAAAUAAAAAUUAAUCUUCAAGUGAAAAAGCUUGAAUGAAACUGCAGGACAAGAAGACCCCGUUGAGCUUUAUUCUCUAUAGACUAAAUCAAAUAUUAAAUAUAUCAUAAACCUAAAAAGAAUUUAGUUGGGGUGACUAAGGAACAUCAAAAACUUCCUUUUAUUAGUUAGGAUCAUUCUCCCUACAAAUUGACCCAUUACACAUGAUCAAAAAAAUAAGCUACCACAGGGAUAACAGGCUAAUCUUUCUCAAGAGCCCAAAUUGUCAGAAAGGAUUGGCACCUCGAUGUUGGCUUAGGGGCCCCUAAUGGUGCAGAAGCCAUAAAUGGUAGGUUUGUUCAACCUUUAAAACCCUACGUGAUC
rnacentral:rRNA from 1 species